GAUGAACGCUGGCGGCGUGCCUAAUACAUGCCAGUCGAGCGAACGGACGAGAAGCUUGCUUCUCUGAUGUUAGCGGCGGACGGGUGAGUAACACGUGGAUAACCUACCUAUAAGACUGGGAUAACUUCGGGAAACCGGAGCUAAUACCGGAUAAUAUUUUGAACCGCAUGGUUCAAAAGUGAAAGACGGUCUUGCUGUCACUUAUAGAUGGAUCCGCGCUGCAUUAGCUAGUUGGUAAGGUAACGGCUUACCAAGGCAACGAUGCAUAGCCGACCUGAGAGGGUGAUCGGCGCCACUGGAACUGAGACACGGUCCAGACUCCUACGGGAGGCAGCAGUAGGGAAUCUUCCGCAAUGGGCGAAAGCCUGACGGAGCAACGCCGCGUGGGUGAUGAAGGUCUUCGGAUCGUAAAACUCUGUUAUUAGGGAAGAACAUAUGUGUAAGUAACUGUGCACAUCUUGACGGUACCUGAUCAGAAAGCAACGGCUAACUACGUG
rnacentral:rRNA from 1 species